rnacentral:lncRNA from 1 species
UGGGAACACUAGUCAUAUAAUUUGAUCUGAACAAAUAGAGAACAUAUUUAAGGAAAGCACGAAAAAUUUCGCCAUCCCAAAGAAAAUACAGCCAUAUAAACAUCCAAUGAUGGAACAGCUGAAAUUGUUUUCCAGAUGAAUCCUGAUCACACUAGGUGUGGAUAUCAUGAGGAUUUUCAGUAUGCAAAAGUCCAUCAAAAGGCAA